GACAGAGGGGCCGAGCGUUAGGCGGAAUCACUGGGCUUAAAGCGUGUGUAGGCGGAUGCCUAAGUACCUUGUGAAAUCCCACGGCUCAACCGUGGAACUGCUUGGUAUACUGGGUGUCUUGAGCCACUUAGGGGCAACCGGAACAAACGGUGGAGCGGUGAAAUGCGUAGAUAUCAGGAGGAACACCGGCGGUGUAGACGGCUUUCUGGACCGUAGCUGACGCUGAGACACGAAAGCGUGGGUAGCAAACAGG
rnacentral:rRNA from 1 species